rnacentral:tRNA from 1 species
GCAGGAGUUCCGGAGCGGUCAAACGGACAGGACUUAAGAUCCUGCGGCUUAGUGCCUUCGGCGGUUCGAAUCCGCCCUCCUGCA